rnacentral:rRNA from 1 species
GACGAACGCUGGCGGCGUGCCUAAUACAUGCAAGUCGAGCGAAUGGAAGGGAGCUUGCUCCCGGAAGUUAGCGGCGGACGGGUGAGUAACACGUGGGCAACCUGCCUGUAAGACUGGGAUAACUUCGGGAAACCGGAGCUAAUACCGGAUACGUUUUUUCCUCGCAUGAGGAAAGAUGGAAAGAUGGUUUCGGCUAUCACUUACAGAUGGGCCGCGGCGCAUUAGCUAGUUGGUGGGGUAAUGGCCUACCAAGGCGACGAUGCGUAGCCGACCUGAGAGGGUGAUCGGCCACACUGGGACUGAGACACGGCCCAGACUCCUACGGGAGGCAGCAGUAGGGAAUCUUCCGCAAUGGACGAAAGUCUGACGGAGCAACGCCGCGUGAGCGAAGAAGGCCUUCGGGUCGUAAAGCUCUGUUGUCAGGGAAGAACAAGUGCCAGAGUAACUGCUGGCACCUUGACGGUACCUGACCAGAAAGCCACGGCUAACUACGUGCCAGCCGCCGCGGUAA